rnacentral:tRNA from 1 species
CCCGCUAUAGUUUAUAAAAAACAUUGAAUUGCAAAUUCAGGAAAGAAAAUUGAUUUCUAGCGAGU